UUGACCCUGAAACUCUACACGAGAAGGAGAUUAGUUACAUUGGUAAUCACGUUGAUAAUUGUUUUGAAAUAGCUGCUUACAUGGAGAGCCUUACUUUACUUAAUGGAGAAAAUCUGGUAUCUUACUGAGAGAAGAUGGUGCUAUGUGUAUAACAAGUGAUGUCAUCACAGGAGGAUGAGAGCAAAGAAAAGGAAGAAGACUGGGUAGAAGUUGAAUUUAAGAUGUGGGAGAGCUGCAAGAUUGAAAGAAAUAAUUUUUUUUUCUGGAGAGAGAAGCAGAACAGGAAUGCAACAAAGAUGAAGCGGACUCAAAGAUGGAAGGAGGUGAGAAGUUUGAUCAGAUAAAUGGGAUAUCUUCUACAGAAAACAUUGAUGAUGGUGGAAGCUCACCAUCAAAGCAGUAGCAACAUAAGAAGAAGAAGCCUAUGCUCAGAAACUUUGGAAGCCUUCUCAAGAAGAAGGGCACUAGCAGCCAUAAGUAGAGAAAUAGACCAGUAUGGCUUAACUUCUGCCCUACUAGCAGGCAGGUAUAUUUGGUAUUAUUGCACCUAAAUGUUUUUGCUUCACUGUCUAUGCUCCCAGAAAGCCGAAUAGGUUAAAGAAAUGAAGAUGCUUGUAUUAUGUUUUUA